rnacentral:rRNA from 1 species
UGUGUGGGGGUACGGCCUACNNGNCGACGACGGGUAGCUGGUCUGANAGGACGACCAGCCACACUGGGACUGAGACACGGCCCAGACUCCUACGGGAGGCAGCAGUGGGGGAUCUUGCGCAAUGGGCGAAAGCCUGACGCAGCGACGCCGCGUGGGGGAUGAAUGCCUUCGGGUUGUAAACCCCUUUCGGCAGGGACGAAGCGAUUGUGACGGUACCUGCAGAAGAAGCUCCGGCUAACUACGUGCCAGCAGCCGCGGUAAGACGUAGGGAGCGAGCGUUGUCCGGAUUUAUUGGGCGUAAAGCGCGCGCAGGCGGCCGCGCAAGUCGGAUGUGAAAACCCGAGGCUCAACCUCGGGCGUGCAUCCGAUACUGCGUGGCUAGAGGUAGGUAGGGGAGAGCGGAAUUCCUGGUGUAGCGGUGAAAUGCGCAGAUAUCAGGAGGAACACCGGUGGCGAAGGCGGCUCUCUGGGCCUUACCUGACGCUCAGGCGCGAAAGCUAGGGGAGCGAACAGGAUUAGAUACCCUGGUAGUCCUAGCUGUAAACGUUGGGUGCUAGGUGUGGGCGGACAUCGACCCCGUCCGUGCCGAANCUAACGCA